rnacentral:lncRNA from 1 species
AGUUCCAGCUACUGCAAGGUUGCCAGGCUGUAGGAGCAGACAAUUGGUGUCUCAGCUGCAGGCGAUCACAACUAUGAGAGCUAGGAAUAACUGUGUCAGUUAGAGGGCUGGGGCAUAAAUAUUUGUGUGAAAAGGCUAGCUGUCAUUGAUCUUUCACAUCUCCACAAGGUGUGACAGAGCAAGCAUUAAAGGCAAUGGUCU